CCAUGACGCACGCUGCCCGGGCCGAGGUGCAUUUGGCUGACAGGUAAGGGGUUUCCAACGCUGAGAGACUGCUGGGCCAUCAUGGGAAGGGAAGGAAUCACUGCGGGAUAUCAGGUAGUUGGUUCGAAGACAAGCUGCCGACGUUUAGUCCUUUUUCUCUUUCGAUCCAUUAUACGCAUCUGGAAAGAAAAGGUAAAUGUAGGUUGAACUGAGAGGGGCUCUUGGGGGAAGAGAAAAUGCAACAUCAAAUACCACAUGUUGCUUCAAAACGAGGUAGUCAACUAUUGAAUGAGCGAUGAUACAUAUUUUAGUGCUUUUUGACUUCAAAUUGGUCUUAGUCCAGCUUAAAAAGGG
rnacentral:sRNA from 2 species